UACGGGAGGGGGCAAGUGUUCUUCGGAAUGACUGGGCGUAAAGGGCACGUAGGCGGUGAAUCGGGUUGAAAGUGAAAGUCGCCAAAAAGUGGCGGAAUGCUCUCGAAACCAAUUCACUUGAGUGAGACAGAGGAGAGUGGAAUUUCGUGUGUAGGGGUGAAAUCCGUAAAUAUACGAAGGAACGCCAAAAGCGAAGGCAGCUCUCUGGGUCCCUACCGACGCUGGGGGUGCGAAA
rnacentral:rRNA from 1 species